rnacentral:rRNA from 1 species
GUAACACUAACUGGAGGACCGAACCGACUAAUGUUGAAAAAUUAGCGGAUGACCUGUGGCUGGGGGUGAAAGGCCAAUCAAACCGGGAGAUAGCUGGUUCUCCCCGAAAGCUAUUUAGGUAGCGCCUCGUGAAUUCAUCUCCGGGGGUAGAGCACUGUUUCGGCUAGGGGGCCAUCCCGGCUUACCAACCCGAUGCAAACUGCGAAUACCGGAGAAUGUUAUCACGGGAGACACACGGCGGGUGCUAACGUCCGUCGUGAAGAGGGAAACAACCCAGACCGCCAGCUAAGGUCCCAAAGUCAUGGUUAAGUGGGAAACGAUGUGGGAAGGCCCAGACAGCCAGGAUGUUGGCUUAGAAGCAGCCAUCAUUUAAAGAAAGCGUAAUAGCUCACUGGUCGAGUCGGCCUGCGCGGAAGAUGUAACGGGGCUAAACCAUGCACCGAAGCUGCGGCAGCGAACGUAUCACCCAAGACAACUUUACGGAGUUGACGAUUGACGGAGCGAAGCGACGUCAAAGCGUUCAUUAAAGUCGAGUUGGCUUAGGGAUACGUUCGUUGGGUAGGGGAGCGUUCUGUAAGCCUGUGAAGGUGUGUCGUGAGGCAUGCUGGAGGUAUCAGAAGUGCGAAUGCUGACAUAAGUAACGAUAAAGCGGGUGAAAAGCCCGCUCGCCGGAAGACCAAGGGUUCCUGUCCAA